rnacentral:rRNA from 1 species
AUUGAACGCUGGCGGCAUGCUUUACACAUGCAAGUCGAACGGUAACAGCCCGCCAGGUGCUGCCGAGUGGCGUACGGGUGGGUAAUGCAUCCGAACGUGCCCAGCCGCUGGGGAUAACUGCUCGUAAGAGUGGCUAAUACCGCAUACGAUCUAUGGAUGAAAGCGGGGGACCGUACGGCCUCGCGCGAUUGGUUCGGCCGAUGUCAGAGUAGGUAGAUGGUGGGGUAAAGGCUCACCAAGCCAACGAUCUGUAGCUGGUCUGAGAGGACGAGCAGCCACACGGGGGAGAGGAUGCGCACCAGACCCGGGAGGGAGGCACCGGGGGGAAUUUUUGGGCAGGGGGCGGAGGCCUGAACCAGAAAAGCGGCGAGAAGGAAGAAGGCCUUCGGGUUGUAAACUGCUUAUGUACGGAACGAAACGGCUCUGGUUACUACCCGGGGCUAAGAACGGUACCGUAAAAAUAGGCACGGGCUAACUACGG